UACGUAGGGGGCUAGCGUUGUCCGGAUUUAUUGGGCGUAAAGAGCGUGUAGGUGGCGCCGUAAGUCGGGUGUGAAAUUUCGGAGCUUAACUCCGAAACUGCAUUCGAUACUGCGGUGCUUGAGGACUGGAGAGGAGACUGGAAUUCAUGGUGUAGCAGUGAAAUGCGUAGAGAUCAUGAGGAAGACCAGUGGCGAAGGCGGGUCUCUGGACAGUUCCUGACGCUGAGGCACGAAGGUCAGGGGAGCAAACGGG
rnacentral:rRNA from 1 species